CCUACGGGGGGCUGCAGUGAGGAAUAUUCCACAAUGGGCGAAAGCCUGAUGGAGCAACGCCGCGUGCAGGAUGAAGGCCUUCGGGUCGUAAACUGCUUUUAUAAGUGAAUAACAUGAAUGUAUCUUAUGAAUAAGCACCGGCUAACUACGUGCCAGCAGCCGCGGUCAUACGUAGGGUGCAAGCAUUAUCCGGAGUGACUGGGCGUAAAGAGUUGCGUAGGUGGUUUAUCAAGUGAAUAGUGAAAUCUGGUGGCUCAACCACAUAGACUAUUAUUCAAACUGGUAAACUCGAGAGUAGCAGAGGUAACUGGAAUUUCUAGUGUAGGAGUGAAAUCCGUAGAUAUUAGAAGGAACACCAAUGGCAUAGGCAGGUUACUGGGCUAUUUCUGACACUAAGGCACGAAAGCGUGGGGAGCGAACCGGCUUAGAUACCCCGGUAGUC
rnacentral:rRNA from 1 species